UUUUAUGGAGAGUUUGAUCCUGGCUCAGGAUGAACGCUGGCGGCGUGCCUAAUACAUGCAAGUCGAGCGAACGGACGAGAAGCUUGCUUCUCUGAUGUUAGCGGCGGACGGGUGAGUAACACGUGGAUAACCUACCUAUAAGACUGGGAUAACUUCGGGAAACCGGAGCUAAUACCGGAUGAUAUUUUGAACCGCAUGGUUCAAAAGUGAAAGACGGUCUUGCUGUCACUUAUAGAUGGAUCCGCGCUGCAUUAGCUAGUUGGUAAGGUAACGGCU
rnacentral:rRNA from 1 species